AACGAACGCUGGCGGCGUGCCUAACACAUGCAAGUCGAACGUGAUUGGAAGCUUGCUUCCAUGCAAGUGGCGCACGGGUGAGUAACGCGUCGAUAAUCUGCCUGAUGAUUUGGAAUAACACUUCGAAAGGGGUGCUAAUACCGGAUAAGCCCACGGAGUCCUUGGAUUCUGCGGGAAAAGGAGGGGACCUUCGGGCCUUCCGUCAUCAGACGAGUCUGCGUACCAUUAGCUAGUUGGUAGGGUAAGGCCUACCAAGGCGACGAUGGUUAGCUGGUCUGAGAGGAUGAUCAGCCACACUGGAACUGAGACACGGUCCAGACUCCUACGGGAGGCAGCAGUGGGGAAUUUUGCGCAAUGGGGGAAACCCUGACGCAGCAACGCCGCGUGAGUGAUGAAGGCCCUUGGGUCGUAAAGCUCUGACAGAGGGAAAGAAAUGUGGGUGGCUAAUAUCCAUUCCACUUGACGGUACCCUCAAAGGAAGCACCGGCUAACUCCGUGCCAGCCGCCGCCGUAAUAC
rnacentral:rRNA from 1 species